GCCGGUGUAGUUCAACGGUAGAACGAAGGACUCAUAAACCUUAGAAGGAAGUUCAACUCUUCCCACCGGCACCA
rnacentral:tRNA from 1 species